GAGUGGUCAUCAGAAAACCUGUUCUGAUCUUUAAAAGGAGCGCACCCGUUAACACAGGUAGCUCUCAUCAGGAACUGAACGAAAUAAUAACAAAAGGACACAGAUAUGCAGUGUUCCCAUACACACUCAUGUUGCAAAGAUAGAAGAAGGAAGAGCUGAGGGGCAACAGGCAAGCUGAAGUGCUGUACCAGGAUAUUACUACAUAAUUUCAAGGAUAGAAAGGGACACUGCUUCCCAGUCUAACAGACCUGCAUCCUAGAAUGUGAUUGAAAUCUUGGAGAUGGGAGAAAUUGCAUGGUGGAGGGUGAAGGAGGAGUUUGGAAAAAGACUGGAGGACACAGAAGUAAUUUCAAAUGUGCACGUGGUGGAGGAGCAAUGACUAACAUGAUAUUUUAUUUUAAACGAAGGGUUUCAAAAUGCUCAUGC